rnacentral:rRNA from 1 species
AACGAACGCUGGCGGCAUGCCUAACACAUGCAAGUCGAACGAGACCUUCGGGUCUAGUGGCGCACGGGUGCGUAACGCGUGGGAACCUGCCCUUAGGUUCGGAAUAACUCCCCGAAAGGGGUGCUAAUACCGGAUAAUGUCUUCGGACCAAAGAUUUAUCGCCUUUGGAUGGGCCCGCGUUGGAUUAGCUAGUUGGUAGGGUAAAAGCCUACCAAGGCGACGAUCCAUAGCUGGUCUGAGAGGAUGAUCAGCCACACUGGGGCUGAGACACGGCCCAGACUCCUACGGGAGGCAGCAGUGGGGAAUAUUGGACAAUGGGCGAAAGCCUGAUCCAGCAAUGCCGCGUGAGUGAUGAAGGCCUUAGGGUUGUAAAGCUCUUUUACCCGGGAUGAUAAUGACAGUACCGGGAGAAUAAGCGCCGGCUAACUCCGUG